rnacentral:lncRNA from 1 species
AAGCCCAAUGGGAGAAAGAUGACUGAUUCUCCACAAGGGUUGCUGGCUUAAAAGACAAAAAAGAAAGAAAGAAAGAAAAAGGGGAAGGUCUGCCAAUAGGAAGAUAAAAAAGUUCUAAGCACACUAUACUCUUCAACAACAAGAAUAACUGAGACAGUCCACUAGAAAACUCCAGAUAAAAGAAAAAUCUGCACAAGAAAUGCAACCCAUUAAAAUGUUACAUGAUUUUAAGCAAUCAACAGAGUAUAUAAAAAGUGAGAAUUCUUCUGACUUGGAUGCUAAUAACAUUCUCCUGUAAGAGCCCAGGGGAAGUGACAAAGGACUCUACUUUUCAGUAAGCGUGCUCCUCUACUAUUUGACUUGCCACCUCCUGCAAGUAUUAAUGUGCUAAAUGUUAAAGAAAGAAUAAACCAUUAGUUAUUUUAAAAUACUGCGUAGCACUAUGCACCACAGAGAGAGACGGGGUGUGUCCAAAAGCUCGAGUUAAUAGUAAAGGCGUGUUUAAUUGUCACCUAAACCCGAACAGGUGGUUAGUAUCAUCGCUGUUACACAGGUGAGGGAGAGAACUGCCCGCGCUAGCACAGCCAACAGGCGCUGGAGCUGGGAUCUCAAGCCCUCAGCCUGGCUCUUCACAUACACUACAUCUAAGUGGCCCCUCUUGGCUGAGUGGAGUUUCUUCCAGCUUGAAAGCCUAGAAUGCCUUGUCUUGCUUGCCUAGAGGUUCCCAACCAGGGCGGGUUUAGUUGUUGCUGGCUCUGGGAGCAGCUACUGGAAUUGAAGGUCGGGGCCAAGGAUGCUAAGCAUCGUCCUGCCCCAGAGGCCAAUCACGGCCCAGUGGUGAAACGCUGACUGCUGCAUAGAUUAUGGCAACAAAUAUUUACUCUUCAGGAGGACGGAGCCAUCGGCUGCGGGAAGGACAGAGUGAGAGAAUCCACAGCCGUUUCGCUCAUCUUUGUGGACCCUGUUGCUGACUAUCAAGUGGGGCCAUUCUCUCCCUUUGGUUAGUCUUUCCUUCCCCAGCAGAUUCUCCAUUUCGUCUCUCUUGGACUUCUUUGCCUGGUAGCUGGGUUCCUUCUUGGCAUAUGUGGAAGGCCUCAUAAGACCUCGAUUUGGAAGUUCCAUAUUGGCAGAGGAGAAAAACAAGAGCUGGAGGUUCAAGGCAUUUUACAGCUAGUGGGUGAUAAUAUUUGCAGUGACCACCCCCUCGAAGGUGACGUGCAUCGUUUGUGGAGACCCUUUGUACACCUGAAAACCCCCUCACAGGCACCAAAGGUUUCAAUAUUUUCCUGUGUCUUUUAGAAGAAAAAAAGACAGCAAUAAUGAAUUGUCUGUGGACAGUUGUUCUCAAGUAAGCCUUCCCGGGAUCUGCAAGCAUCUUUCCAAGAGAGACCAGGUUCACAUCGUUGCAACAGUGAGGCUCGCAAAGCUCCCGUGAGAAGCUGUUCACAUGAACUGUGCCACCUUCUGACUGAUGUUGCUAAUAAAGAACAGAGGAGAAUCUGCCUGUCAAACUUGCCUCAAAGGAGGUCAUUGAGUUGUGAUUGGAUAUAUUAUAUAUUAUACAAUAAUUUAUUUUGACCCUAGGAGAGGUUCAUUUGAAAAAGGCCAUAAU